UGGCUAACUCCUACGGGAGGCAGCAGUGGGUAAUAUUGGACAAUGGGCGCAAGCCUGAUCCAGCCAUGCCGCGUGUGUGAAGAAGGCCUUUUGGUUGUAAAGCACUUUAAGCGAGGAGGAGGCUACCUGUAUUAAUACUAUAGGAUAGUGGACGUUACUCGCAGAAUAAGCACCGGCUAACUCUGUGCCAGCAGCCGCGGUAAUACAGAGGGUGCGAGCGUUAAUCGGAAUUACUGGGCGUAAAGCGCGCGUAGGCGGUUUGUUAAGUCGGAUGUGAAAUCCCCGGGCUCAACCUGGGAAUUGCAUUCGAUACUGGCAAGCUAGAGUAUGGGAGAGGAAGGUAGAAUUCCAGGUGUAGCGGUGAAAUGCGUAGAGAUCUGGAGGAAUACCGAUGGCGAAGGCAGCCUUCUGGCCUAAUACUGACGCUGAGGUGCGAAAGCAUGGGGAGCAAACAGGAUUAGAAACCCCUGUAGUCCAGCUGG
rnacentral:rRNA from 1 species